GACCAUGUUACACAUGACCAAUGAGACAUCCCAUCCCGGCACUACACUUUUGGAUAAGUUUAAAAUACUAGAGCUUGAAUUCAAUCAUUUAAUUGCAUCUCAUCACCUAGGACUUGUUGAUUUUUGAGUCCAACUCUUUAGGAUCUCGAUAUCUAUGCAGGCCUUUUCAUAGUGGCUUUCUAUUGUGGUUCUUCUAUAUUGUCUAAUGCCAUUAAUGCACAGCUUGGUUCAUUUAGAUCC
rnacentral:lncRNA from 1 species